rnacentral:rRNA from 1 species
UACCGAGGGUGCAAGCGUUAAUCGGAAUUACUGGGCGUAAAGCGCGCGUAGGUGGUUUGUUAAGUUGGAUGUGAAAUCCCCGGGCUCAACCUGGGAACUGCAUGCAAAACUGGCAAGCUAGAGUAUGGUAGAGGGUGGGGGAAUUUCCUGUGUAGCGGUGAAAUGCGUAGAUAUAGGAAGGAACACCAGUGGCGAAGGCGACCACCUGGACUGAUACUGACACUGAGGUGCGAAAGCGUGGGGAGCAAACAGG